UCCGCUUGCCUCAGCCUUCCAAAGUGCUGCUGGGAUUACAGAGAUUUGGAACAUAAAAAGUACUGAAUUCCACAUUGGUCUGAAUCUCAAUCAUUUGCUGAACCAUUGCUUCAUAUCACUUUUGAAAUGCAGUUGAUAUGAAUUAAAGAACACAAACUGAAGUGCCUCUGGGGGCCAGGAAGGUAACUAGGAUUCAAUUCCUUGAGGACUAUUAGACUGAGGGCCUCAGUUCCUCACUGGCUGUUGGCUGGCGAACACUCUCAAUUCCUUGCUAUAUGUGCCUCUCCAACAUGGCAGCUUGUUUCAUCAAAGCCAGCAAGUGGGAGGAAGAAGGAAGGAAGAGAGACAAGGAAUCUGCUAGCACGAUGACAAUCACAAUCUUCUGUAACAUAAUCACAGAAGUGACAUCCUGUCACUUUUGCUGUGUUCUAUUGAUUAAAAGUAAGACAGUGAUUUUACCUACACUCCAUAGGAGGGAUAAUUACACUAAGGCAUGAACACUCUAUCCAAGGCUAACAUGAAAUUUGCAUAUCUCAGUUCUGUCAAUGGGAAUUUUUAUGUGCUUCAUUUGCUUUUGUAAGCUCACUGAAUAGUUCUUUGGAUCUGGAUCUGUUGUUAGCUUGUAUUUCUUUUUAACAUAAUCCAUGUUAAGAAAAAUACAAUUGAGUACAAAAGAAAUCACCUAAUAUCCCACAAAAGAUAACAAAAUUCAAAUUGUUAUGUAAUAAAUCUAAUGCUUUUUUCAUGA